ACAUGCAGACACACAAGCUCACACACACAUGCAUGUACACACACUAGCGUUACACUCAUGCACACAGUAGCUUACAUGCUGAUUCACACGCACACACACUCGCACUCAUAUGCACACACACGGUUGCCCACACGCACACAUACUCCCAUGCACAUGCGCACACCCUGGGGAGGAGCAGAGCCCCCCUCACUUCCUCAGGCACGCAGACUUGGCCUUUUAAUUAAUUAAAAGAUGGCCUUUUAAUUUCAUGGGCGAGGAGGGCAGUGGCCCCAUGCUCUUGCAGUAGAGUGUGGAUCCUCUGGAUUGGGGUCUGCUGGAAAGUCCCAGGAGAUACUCGGAGGCUGUGAAAACCACCCUGCUCUCACCAGACGCUGCUCCUCCUGGGACCCUGCCUCCGAGGGCCCCGGGGCCAGCAUCUUCUUCCUGCCCCACAGUCCCUUUCACUGGCUUGGAGCUGAUCACAGCACCAGCUUGCUCGCUCUCUCAGCCUCUCUCUAAGCCUCUUUGCCCACCUCCAGUUCUUUCUCUCCCUCUCCCCCCCCAUUCUCUUCCCUUCUCUCCCUCUCUCCCUCUCCCUACAUCCCACAUCUCUUAGGCUCAUGCACCUGUAGCUCCCAACUUCUUCUCCCUGCAUCCCAGGCCACCCUAUUUUCUUUCUCAUGCCCUGUUGGAAGAGGAAGGGUAAUCAAUAGAGGAAGGGUAAUCAAUAGAGGAAGGUAAUCAAUAGAGGAAGGUAAUCAAUAGAGGAAGGGUAAUCAAUAGAGGAAGGUAAUCAAUAGAGGAAGGGUAAUCAAUAGAGGAAGGGUAAUCAAUAGAGGAAGGUAAUCAGUAGAGGAAGGGUAAUCAGUAGAGGAAGGGUAAUCAGUAGAGGAAGGUAAUCAAUAGAGGAAGGUAAUAGAGGAAGUGUAAUCAGUAGAGGAAGUGUAAUCAGUAGAGGAAGGUAAUCAGAGGAAGGUAAUCAAUAGAGGAAGGGUAAUCAGUAGAGGGGCAAUCAGUAGAGGAAGGGUAAUCAAUAGAGGAAGGUAGUCAAUAGAGGAAGGGUAAUCAAUAGAGGAAGGUAAUCAAUAGAGGAAGGGUAAUCAAUAGAGGAAGGUAGUCAAUAGAGGAAGGUAGUCAAUAGAGGAAGGUAGUCAAUAGAGGAAGGGUAAUCAAUAGAGGAAGGGUAAUCAAUAGAGGAAGGUAAUCAAUAGAGGAAGGGUAAUCAAUAGAGGAAGGGUAAUCAGUAGAGGAGGGGCAAUCAGUAGAGGAAGGUAAUCAAUAGAGGAAAGGUAAUCAAUAGAGGAAGGUAAUCAAUAGAGGAAGGUAGUCAAUAGAGGAAGGUAGUCAAUAGAGGAAGGUAAUCAAUAGAGGAAGGUAAUCAAUAGAGGAAGGGUAAUCAAUAGAGGAAGGUAGUCAAUAGAGGAAGGUAAUCAAUAGAGGAAGGGUAAUCAAUAGAGGAAGGGUAAUCAGUAGAGGAGGGGCAAUCAGUAGAGGAAGGUAAUCAGUAGAGGAAAGGUAAUCAAUAGAGGAAGGUAAUCAAUAGAGGAAGGGUAAUCAAUAGAGAAAGGUAAUCAAUAGAGGAAGGUAGUCAAUAGAGGAAGGUAGUCAAUAGAGGAAGGUAAUCAAUAGAGGAAGGGUAAUCAAUAGAGGAAGGUAGUCAAUAGAGGAAGGUAGUCAAUAGAGGAAGGUAGUCAAUAGAGGAAGGGUAAUCAAUAGAGGAAGGUAGUCAAUAGAGGAAGGUAGUCAAUAGAGGAAGGGUAAUCAAUAGAGGAAGGUAAUCAAUAGAGGAAGGGUAAUCAAUAGAGGAAGGUAAUCAAUAGAGGAAGGUAGUCAUUAGAGGAAGGUAGUCAAUAGAGGAAGGUAAUCAAUAGAGGAAGGUAAUCAAUAGAGGAAGGUAGUCAAUAGAGGAAGGUAAUCAAUAGAGGAAGGUAAUCAAUAGAGGAAGGUAGUCAAUAGAGGAAGGUAGUCAAUAGAGGAAGGGUAAUCAAUAGAGGAAGGUAAUCAAUAGAGGAAGGGUAAUCAAUAGAGGAAGGUAGUCAAUAGAGGAAGGUAGUCAAUAGAGGAAGGUAAUCAAUAGAGGAAGGUAGUCAAUAGAGGAAGGUAGUCAAUAGAGGAAGGUAGUCAAUAGAGGAAGGUAGUCAAUAGAGGAAGGUAGUCAAUAGAGGAAGGUAGUCAAUAGAGGAAGGUAGUCAAUAGAGGAAGGUAGUCAAUAGAGGAAGGUAGUCAAUAGAGGAAGGUAGUCAAUAGAGGAAGGUAGUCAAUAGAGGAAGGUAGUCAAUAGAGGAAGGUAGUCAAUAGAGGAAGGUAGUCAAUAGAGGAAGGUAAUCAAUAGAGGAAGGUAGUCAAUAGAGGAAGGUAAUCAAUAGAGGAAGGUAAUCAUGAAUAGAUACUACAAGUCAUGAACUUUUCAACCCACAGAGCAAUCAGGUGAAAGGGUUGAUGUUUCUGAGGUGGGUUCCUUUUUCUUCCUCCUUUAAAGUUUUUU
rnacentral:lncRNA from 1 species